rnacentral:rRNA from 1 species
CGUCAAAUCAUCAUGCCCUUUAUGACCGGGGCUACACACGUACUACAAUGGCGUUUAACAAUGAGCAGCAAACCCGCGAGGGGGAGCGAAUCUCCAAAAGGCGCCUCAGUUCAGAUUGCAGGCUGCAACUCGCCUGCAUGAAGUUGGAAUUGCUAGUAAUCGCAGGUCAGCAUACUGCGGUGAAUACGUUCCCGGGUCUU